UGGUCUCAGACUCUUGAGUACGAUAAGAGAAUUUGGAAAACGCCAUCCCCUUCAUUUACACGUGGCAAGCACCCACAGAAGCAAGUACUUAUCUCUUUCCCUGUUUUCUCGGAACUCACUCUGUAUUACAAUUUCUUCAUUCCCAUUAAUUACAAAUUUAAAGAGGGAAAAGUUUUUAUCCCAUGGAGCCAACACCACCUUAUUACCAUUUUAGAUUAUAUGAACCGUACACGUGGUAAUCACUAGACAUUCUGAUUCUCCAUUUAUUGCAGUGGGACCCUUCUAAACUUUGGAUACCCAAAACUGAAACAGGCUUGAUCAGCCACCAGAUUGUCAGCUGACAGCUGGUGAGAAAACUGUGGCCUGGUGAUCUCUUUCAACUUUUGCAGCCACAGCUUCUUAGCCAAUGGAUGAGAGACAUGUGUCUAGCGGGGGCUACUUAUCCUCUAAGCUCUUGGAUAACGAGUUAAAUUUUAUCAUUAUUUUUUAUGAAGGUGGAAAUUAUUAUUGUAAGAUUUGAAUCAU
rnacentral:lncRNA from 1 species